UUCAAUAACUAUUCAUUCCAUAAGAUCCUAAAUCACUGAAAUCUUUUGAAAAUGUAAUGUUGUUGUGUUUUCCAUUCGAACAAACUGCAGCUGCUCUGUGUGUUUAUUGUGCAGUCUCGCCUUCCACAGUAGUGUGGCGCUGUUGGCCCAAUGUCGCAGCGUCAAUGCAUGUGGCGCUUUCGUUAGUAAUAUGUGUGUUUAACUUGUUCCAGCUCUGCGCAGACCGAUCACCUUAUGACAAAACGCAUACGGCAUUAGAAUAGCAUUUCUAAAGCAUACAGGGCAGUCAGUUCACAAAUAGCUCUCACUGUGCUUUGAUGUCAUACGCCGUUCCGUCUGCGAUCAAACAUCUGACUGGCACGCACGAGGUGUACGAGUUUUCAGCGGUGUCCUCUCGCGCCACAGGCGGGAAUUCAAAAUAACGGAUGGCAACAACCUCUCGACUGUCCCAUUGGAGAAUUUUCAGUAUUUUCCAGUUGAGUAGACAACAAAAGGACACCCAAGGCCAACAGACCCAGCUCCAGCCCGCCCUGAUGCUCAUCCUUGCACUGCCUGGGACACCUAAGGCCAACAGCCGCAGCUCCUGUUCUCUUUUUGCCAUAAAUAUCUACUUUAGCAAUACAAAAUUGUGAAAUGCACUAUAGAAAUAAUUUUGACUUUGGAUCCUCACACCACCUGGUAAUAGCAGGAAACCCAUUUGGAGAGAACAGCAUUGUUUUUUUCUUGCUCGCAAGGAUUUGCUUUUUGGCAAAUUACAACUUUACCAUGGGUGUAGGCCUUGCUAUGAGAGACUACUUUUUUGCUGGACUUUUUUUACAAUUGUACAUUUGUACAAAGUACCUGAAAUAUUUCUGUAUUUAUAUUUAAAGUUAAGGCAAAUUAUUUGGUUAGUUUUGUUAAGAUGUUGUUUUCAUUUAUAACAAUAUCACCAACACAGUAUUAAUUAUUCAUGUGAUUUCAUGAAUUUAGAAUUGUAAUGUACAAUAUUUACUAUUUUGUGAAUAUUUAUUCAAUGUA